UGAGGAAUAUUGGUCAAUGGACGAGAGUCUGAACCAGCCAAGUAGCGUGCAGGAUGACGGCCCUCUGGGUUGUAAACUGCUUUUAGUUGGGAACAUAAAAGGCGACGUGUCGCCUCUGGAGUGUACCAUCAGAAAAAGGACCGGCUAAUUCCGUGCCAGCAGCCGCGGUAAUACGGAAGGUCCAGGCGUUAUCCGGAUUUAUUGGGUUUAAAGGGAGCGUAGGCGGACGAUUAAGUCAGCUGUGAAAGUUUGCGGCUCAACCGUAAAAUUGCAGUUGAAACUGGUUGUCUUGAGUGCACGCAGGGAUGUUGGAAUUCAUGGUGUAGCGGUGAAAUGCUUAGAUAUCAUGAAGAACUCCGAUCGCGAAGGCAUAUGUCCGGAGUGCAACUGACGCUGAGGCUCGAAAGUGCGGGUAUCGAACAGGAUUAGAUACCCUGGUAGUCCGCACAGUAAACGAUGAAUACUCGCAGUAUGCGAUAUAGUGUAUGCUGCCAAGUGAAAACGUUAAGUAUUCCACCUGGGGAGUACGCCGGCAACGGU
rnacentral:rRNA from 1 species